rnacentral:lncRNA from 1 species
CGCGAGCAGCCCCUCCCCUCCCGUUUUUUUCUGCACAGCCGGUGGCUCCAAGAGCCACCACAGCCGCCACCAGCCACCGAUUGGGGUGGUACCGGUCCCAAAAGAACCGCCAGCUCCUCCUCCUUCCAUCCCGCUCCAUCCCCGACCUCGGCAGCCGCUGGUGUCGCCGGAAUCUGCCGGAAAACGAGCUGGUUUUCACAGAUUUUCAAACCGCUCGUUCUCCCUCAUUUCUUCUCCAAAUUUGACGAGUAAGGUAUGGAUUUCUACCUAUUUUUCAUGCUCUAGCUGAUGGUUGGAUAGGAUUUCGUUAAUUUUUAGCCUAGGAUAGCUGAUCUUCAAUUUGAAAUUCUGCCGAUUUUGAGAGUUUGUUUUCGGCCACUUCCAGUCACUUUUUGGGGUAGGUCUAAGAACAAAAGUGGCUCCAAAUAGGGUGAUAUACCUAGGGUAGGAGUUUGGAGCCGAGAUGUUGAGAUUUUCCGGCGAAGCGUUAUCGCUUUGGGCACCCACGCGCUGCCGGCGCGUGCGGCGGCGCGUGGGCACUGUAGAAAAUUAGCACUGUGUUCCGAUGAGAUCCUUAGGUUGUCACGAGUGCGUAGGAUUUUACGGAUCUCAAUUCGGACAUCGUUUGACUAUCGAACGGAUAAUCGCAUAGUAUGCGUUAUCCGGGUCCGAUAGGUUGGGACCGUCGGAUGGUCCCAAAUUUAAUAUAUGUUAAUCUAGGUAUUUCUAGGAUCGUGUAGGAAUUCACGGAUCCGCAGGUCCGUUUGACCAGGGUUAGAGUAGUUUGACCCUUGGUUGACUGUGAGCCACCCGGAGUAAUCUCACCUCUCCAGGGGAGAUUAUCGGGUGCUAGAUGAUUGUGGAGGGUGACACAAUAUUAGGAUUAAUUUAUAUAAAUAUAAUUAUAUGUGGUUGUACAAGGGUACAACAGAGUCUAGAAUGUCAGUUUGGAGUGCUAUACGCACUACCGUAGGUACCUCCUCGGACGUUGGAUUCACUACAAGUACCACCAAGAGAAAGUGAGGUCGCACGUGGCGUAGGUUAUCCGGCGUGUCGACAGACCCCAUACGUGGCGUUGGUUGUACCGGCGUAUGCGGAGCUAUGUAAUAUGAUGUUCAGGUCUCACGUGGCGUAGGUUAUUCGGCGUUGAGACAGACCCCAUAUGUGGCGUUGGUUGUACCGGCGUAUGGGGAGCUAUGUAAUAAUGUGUUGAGGUCGCACGUGGCGUAGGUUAUCCGGCGUGUCGACAGACCCCAUACGUGGCGUUGGUUGUACCGGCGUAUGGGGAGAUUUGUGAUAUGAUAUUGAGGUCCCGCGUGGCGUAGGUUAUCCGGCGUUGGGACAGGCCCCAUACGUGGCGUUGGUUGUACCGGCGUAUGGGGAGAUUAUAUGAAAUACAAAGAAAUGAAAUAAGGUAUCGCUCAAGUAGGGAAUUGAGUUUUAGGGAAGAACUACGUGUGGCUUGAUCCCUCAAGGAGGGUACGUAGGCAGCCUGAGGUUAUUAGGUGCAGCCGCAGACUAAAUAUUAGUCAUAAAUUGUAAUUGAAUUGUUUGGUAGUUGUUUGAGAAUUUUGGAAGGCCGAAGGCCAUUUAUGAGAAUUUGCAUGAGAUUAUAUUGUGCAUGCUGCCCGUUGGUGAUAUUAAAUGCGUUUUCAUGCAGGUAUAAAUUUUGGGAAACGUCCAAUUUACAGGGGAGACUCUGCCGAAAUUUUGGCAGGAUUUCGGCAGGAAGUCUCGGUUUCAGUGAGUGGGCCUGACAUCGGGGUGAUGUCAGGAAUCCCCAAAGGGUUCGUCUCGAAUUUUGAGAAAAUUCGGGGCGGGUCCUUAACGUUGGUAUCAGAGCUCUAGGUUCAAUUCCCUGUGGACCCUACACUUUAUGUGCAUCCUUAAAUUGUGGGGAUCAAAAUGGGUACCAUCUCGGAAUGGCACAUUUGCGACGUUGAGGACGUCACAAAAGUCAAAUUAUUUCACAAAGGAAAGGUACAUAGGCCACCGGAGCAUAAGUAGAGCUGGAGCUUUACCACAGACAGUGGUUGUUUCAGAAGUUCCGGAAGAUGGCGAGUAGAAGCCGAAAGUUUGCAUAGGGUAACACCUGUACGUAUGGUACAGUUGGAUGUCCCUAUGAUAAAGUUGUCCGUUGGGUUCGCAUAAGCGGGAGGUAGGGAGUGGAUCCACCUACUUCUAGGGAUCCUCCAUUGCCUGAACAUGUUGCUAAUUUUCGAUUGUGUGCCUAGAGCACCGAGUCGAAGAUCCUAAGAGCAUAACCUCUCUCUGGGACGAGCAACUCCCCGACAUUGGAUCAAGGGAUCCAGGGUCUGAAGGGUGGUGUUGGUAUAAUCGAAAUCACAAGUGUCUCUUACAGAAAGAGGCUCGUGUGUGGUGAGAAUACUAUGGUCAAGUCUAAGGACGAGACCCAGAUGGAUGGAGAGAGUCCUUUGGGGUCUCAUCUCACGUGAGCACGUUUGAGUAGAGAUCUUUCAUCGGAAUCAGAAAUGGAUCAUGGUCGAGAGAGAUCGAUGAUGAUUACAAUUCGGUAAAAAUGAUCAUUUCUGACUUUUCUCUCAACGAAUCGUGUUAGCAAAGUAAAGGGAGAAGUAGUGGAGUUGGGUGUAACCGUACUUCAUUUGCGUGGGCUUGAAUGCCGCGAUUGACAGGAGUGGAACAUUAGGGUUCUUCUUCUUCCUUGCUCUCUCACGUGAGCUCGCCAUAGUUAGAGAAGGAGACUUUUCUUUCUCUGCUUGCUUAGCUAGAGCUUUUGGCUUGGUUGCCAACACGGUUGUGGAGAAAGAACUUGGGAACCCGAGUGGUAGAUGCGGGCCCCAUGCUCACAACCCUUCGAAUGACAAGGUAGGAAAUUUCGGGGACGAAAUUUUUAUAAGGGGGGUAGUCUGUAACACCCCGACCCCAAAUUUCCCCAAAUUUUACCCUCAUUUAAUUAUUUAAUUAUUUAAGGAUAUUUUAGUCAUAUUUUUAACCGGAGAGAGUUUGGGACCGCGACUUACAUUUUUGGAUAGGUCGUACUGAGAAGAGUUCAUAGACACGUAGUGGGCUCGAAUCGGAGUUGUAACGAGAGAGAUAUGGUCAAAAGAAACCCAGUGGCACAAUCGUAAAUAUUUCGAAAUGGGAUUUUUUAUAAAAAAAACCUGGUUUCUCUCUCUCUCUCUCUCUCUCUCUCUCUCUCUCUCUCUCUCUCUCUCUCUCUCCCGCGAGCAGCCCCUCCCCUCCCGUUUUUUUCUGCACAGCUGGUGGCUCCAAGAGCCACCACAGCCGCCACCAGCCACCGAUUGGGGUGGUACCGGUCCCAAAAGAACCGCCAGCUCCUCCUCCUUCCAUCCCGCUCCAUCCCCGACCUCGGCAGCCGCUGGUGUCGCCGGAAUCUGCCGGAAAACGAGCUGGUUUUCACAGAUUUUCAAACCGCUCGUUCUCCCUCAUUUCUUCUCCAAAUUUGACGAGUAAGGUAUGGAUUUCUACCUAUUUUUCAUGCUCUAGCUGAUGGUUGGAUAGGAUUUCGUUAAUUUUGAGCCUAGGAUAGCUGAUCUUCAAUUUGAAAUUCUGCCGAUUUUGAGAGUUUGUUUUCGGCCACUUCCAGUCACUUUUUGGGGUAGGUCCAAGAACAAAAGUGGCUCCAAAUAGGGUGAUAUACCUAGGGUAGGAGUUUGGAGCCGAGAUGUUGAGAUUUUCCGGCGAAGCGUUAUCGCUUUGGGCACCCACGCGCUGCCGGCGCGUGCGGCGGCGCGUGGGCACUGUAGAAAAUUAGCACUGUGUUCCGAUGAGAUCCUUAGGUUGUCACGAGUGCGUAGGAUUUUGCGGAUCUCAAUUCGGACAUCGUUUGACUAUCGAACGGAUAAUUGCAUAGUAUGCGUUAUCCGGGUCCGAUAGGUUGGGACCGUCGGAUGGUCCCAAAUUUAAUAUAUGUUAAUCUAGGUAUUUCUUGGAUCGUGUAGGAAUUCACGGAUCGUGAAUCGGAGCCCCGGAUGUUCCGAAUAAUAAUUUAAAGUUUAUAUUUUAUAUUAACC